ACUCUGCAAGUAGACUCCAGAAGCAAUCUUUAGGAUCCUUGGAAGAGAGGAAAGAGACAGUGAUGCGAUAAAAUCCCGGAGAGGGACAGCAUUCUCCAUCUCCUCCAUGACAGAGUGUAUGGACUAAGAGACAGAAGCAAUAUCACAAGUUCUUCACUGAAUUAAGGCAGAGCAUGCAGAAUGCUCUCACAGAAGGGGAUUCUUAGUACAUUUCCUGACACUUCUCAUAACUAAGCUAGAUGUGAUGCAUAUGAGGAACUUGAAC